GCCGUCGCGGAGCCGGAAACGUGUUUUCCGGUGCCAGCCCCAGGGCCUGGGAGGCGGGGGUCGGUGGCUUGGUGGGUUGGUGGCUAGGAAAAGAAGAACGAUCAUCAAUGGCUAAUAGCAGCUGCAGAAGCAACACCAAAAGCCGGUUUCACGCUCAGGAGAGAACGCUGCGUCUCCUCCUCAUGGUUUCGGAGUACAUCAUGAGAAACGCUGGGCUGGAAGAAGCACAAGCUGGAAUCAAGAUUGCGGGGAGAAAUAUCAAUAACCUCAGAUAUGCAGAUGACACCACCCUUAUGGCAGAAAGUGAAGAGGAACUAAAAAGCCUCUUGAUGAAAGUGAAAGAAGAAAGUGAAAAGGUGUUAGGGGAAGCACACUGAUUGAAACCACCCACCCUGGCCAGGCACCAUAGUAACUAUUUGCAUGAGUUGUUUUAUGGCAGGAGAUCCUGAUAAGGAAUACGGAACUAAUAGGCCACCACCAGCCGGAAGAGUUCGGGAAAGAUCGAGAGGAGACACUACCUGUCCGUCCACUUCCCAGAAUCCCUCUUGCUAGCAUCCAUCUUGGCUGAGCGAUGCGUGCGCCACCAGGAAAGACUCUGAAUUAGAAUGAUUGGCCAAAGACCACCCGGAAACUAAUCCCAUCACCAUAAAACACAAGACUGCGAGCCACGCGGCAGAGCAGUUCUCCUGGAUUCCCUUACCUACUGCUCUCCACCCG